GUCUUUUUGAAAAUAAUUUAAAGUCUAAUCUGCCCACUGAUAAAUUUAUAUUAAAGGGCUGCAGUAUAUUGACUGUACAAAGGUAGCAUAAUCACUAGUCUCUUAAUUGGUGACUUGAAUGAAUGAUUGGAUGAAAUAUGGACUGUUUCUAAUUUAAUAAUUGAAUUUAAUUUUUUAGUUAAAAAGCUAAAAUAAAUUUAAAAGACGAGAAGACCCUAUAGAAUUUUAUAAAUUUUUUUAUUUUAAAAAUUAUAAGUUAAUAAUAAAAUGAAAUAUGUAUUUAUUUUAUUGGGGUGAUAGAAAAAUUGAAUAAACUUUUUUUAAGAUUAAUACAUUAAUAAAUGAAAUUUUUGAUCCAUAAUUUAUGAUUAAAAGAAAAAAUUACCUUAGGGAUAACAGCGUAAUUUUUUUUUUUAGUUCAAAUAAGAAAAAAAGUUUGCGACCUCGAUGUUGGAUUAAGAUAAAAUUUAAAUGCAAAAGUUUAAAAUUUUGAUCUGUUCGAUCAUUAAAAUCUUACAUGAUCUGAGUUCAAACCGGUGUAAGCCAGGUUGGUUUCUAUCUUUAAAUAAUAUUAAAUAUUUUAGUACGAAAGGAUUAAAUAUUUAAAAUAAUUUUAAAAUAAAUAGAAUUUUAUUAAUUUUUUUUUUAUUAAAUUUAAUAAUAAAAUUAAAAUUAGAAAAAUUAAUU
rnacentral:rRNA from 1 species